rnacentral:rRNA from 1 species
CCUACGGGAGGCAGCAGUAGGGAAUAUUGGGCAAUGGAGGCAACUCUGACCCAGCCAUGCCGCGUGCAGGAUGAAGGCGUUAUGCGUUGUAAACUGCUUUUAUAUAGGAAGAAAGAGUUCUUGCGAGAACAGUUGACGGUACUAUAUGAAUAAGCACCGGCUAACUCCGUGCCAGCAGCCGCGGUAAUACGGAGGGUGCAAGCGUUGUCCGGAUUUAUUGGGUUUAAAGGGUGCGUAGGCGGUUUAUUAAGUCAGUGGUGAAAGACGGUCGCUCAACGAUUGCAGUGCCAUUGAUACUGGUAGACUUGAGUGAGAUUGAGGUAGCUGGAAUGGAUAGUGUAGCGGUGAAAUGCAUAGAUAUUAUCCAGAACACCAAUUGCGUAGGCAAGUUACUAAGUCUUAACUGACGCUGAGGCACGAAAGUGUGGGUAUCAAACAGGAUUAGAUACCCUGGUAGUCCACACUGUAAACGAUGAUAACUAACUGUUGGCUUUCGGGUCAGUGGUACAGAGAAAUCGUUAAGUUAUCCACCUGGGGAAGUACGCCGGNAACGGUGAAACUUAAAGGAAUUGACGGNGNGAGAGNGCGAGACGACGACGAGGAGGAGG